AAUUUGGGCACACAAUUGUACUUUGUAAAAGUUGUAUAAAAAAUAGUGUGUUCUUCAAUGUGUCCAAUUUAACAGCGAAUUUAAAUUCAGAGUGUCUAUAGUUAGGCAAUUAAAUAGAAAUCUGAAGACUCAUACCCUCUAUUGUUUGGAGUACAGUAAGCCACGAGUUACAGUUACAUAAACAACUGUUUUUAGUUGUGUAUAUUACAAGUUAAUAAAAUUUAGUUCUCUUUUAGUAAUACUAUUUAUAACAGCGUAAGCAUUUUUCAUAAAUCCCGGUUUUCUCAUAUUCUAGUAGUAAAUUUAUUUUAUAUUUUCUAUCUAUCAGGAAAAUGGGUACAGAAAAUCUGCAGACGCCUGCAAGAAUCGCAUAAAGAAUAUGAAGCAUUCUUAUAAAAAAAAUAAAGGACCACAACAAUAAAAGUGGGAGUGGCAAGAAAACUAGCAAGUUUUUUGACGCUAUGGAUAAAAUAUUAGGAACCAGACCCGCUACCCGUCCAACACAUAUUCUGGAGACAAGUAUUAAUUCAGAAACACAAGAUUUGGAUGAUUUUGAUGAUGAUGAUAAUGAUGAGGAACCAACAAGAGUCAAUUUGGAAAAUGAAGAAAAUGAGCCUACAGAAACCGUCCUCCGUAAACAGCCAGAAAAAAAAGGACCAGAAAAGAAAAAAAGAAACAGAGAGGAUAUAAUUCAACGUGUUCUGAAUGAGACAACAACCAGCUUUAUAAAUUGUCAAAGAGAACAAGAAAGAUCAUAUUUUGAAUUCGAAGAAAAAAGAAUGAGAAUGGAGGCAGAUUCAUAGAGACUUAGAAAAGAGCAGAGACGGGAGGAUCGACUUAGAGCUGAGGAACAACGACGCGAGGAUAGGGAAAGAGAUAGGCAACAUGAAUUAAGAUUAUGGAGUUUGUUUGCCAAUCAGGGAUUUCAGCAGCAUCAAUUUUCUCAACAACAAAAUGGACAUGUUCCGCAGCCACAAUUUUUACAAGGAGCUAAUGGACACACAUAUACAAAUUUAUAAAACCAUAUUAUUUUCAAGACCUAUCAUUUUGUGCCAAAAGUUCUGCUAUGUAGAGCAUUUAUUUUCAUUGAUAACAGUUAAUUUUUGUUUGUAGAAAUACAUAGUUUUAUUUAUCAUUCCAUUGUGCCAAGGCUAGAGUUUUAAUAAAUUAAUUUCCAUGUUUUAAUUAUUAAUAUCCAUAUCAUUUAACUUAAUGUAUCAUGAAGCUGAAUCAUAUUAUUUUCAAGAUAUACCAUUUUGUGCCAAAAUAUCUGACAUGUAGCGCAAUUAUUGUCAUUGAUAACAGUUUAUUUUUGUUUCUACAAAUACAUGAAUUUUAUUUGUCAUUCCAUUUUACCAUGGCUCAAGUUUUAAUAAAUUUAUUUCCAUGUUUUAAUUAUUAAUAUCCAUAUCAUUAUCAAAUGUGUCAUGAAGCUGAUAUAUGUACUUGGUUGUGAAAGUUAACUGUAGUUGUAACACGUUUUAUGUGAUUUCAGUUUUUAUGAAUUUAAAUUACCAGUAUGAGAUUAAUUGUUUCAAUGGCAUUUAGCAAUUGAACUGGGAAUACACAGGACAAUCCUUGUUUAUAUCUAAAGCAAAGUUUUGACUUGGCUUCUUAUCGUUAUCAAAUAAUGCGAAACGGUAUGAGGUGGGUGUUUUCUUCUUUGUAAGUCAAUUGAUAAGCCCCUAAUAAGAACAAAACAGUCUGUUAUGUUUUCAAAAAUGGUAAAUUCUCUUUUAUUUAAAUUGAUCAAUAACUUUAUAGUGUAGGCUUGUACAGUGGACUCGGAAUAUUCCGAAUUAUUAGACCAAUCUGGGGACCCCCGUUAAACGAUUUCUGUUGAAUUAACAUUGGAUAAUCCUGCCUUCAAUCAGUGGGUGUUAACCGACAAGCAAUCAAUUAUCGGUGAGCUUAAAGUAUGUGUCAGUCUUUGUUAAUAAAACCUUGAUAAUUUUAUAAUUUCUUGUAAGAGAGUGCUUGGUAUUUCAUUUGAUUUUUUCACGUCAAAUACAGCAACAUUAAAUAUAAAUUGCUGAGAUGAAGAAUCACUAUCAUUAUAAUAUUUUGUUCAUAACGACGCACAAGUGUUUUGUACGCACCCAAAGUAAAAACAUAAUAAUUUUAUAUAAUAAAGUUUCAAAUGUACAGAAAGGUUUAUCAUAUUUUUAAGUUCUGGGUAUUCGAAGGUGCAUUAAAAUAAUACUUUGGUAUUCGAGGUACAAUAAUACUUGCGGUUUUGAGACAAUUAAGUAUUCCGUCAUGGUGUAUAAUCCGGCAUUGUAUCGGUCCUGUACAAUGUUGAAAGUGAAAGAGUCCACUGUAUAUUUUUAAUUACAUACACUUCUUCAAUGAUGGACAACAAAGAUGACAAUUGGACCUCUUAUUAUAUAAUCCAACUCUGGCUUAAUGAGAUGCAUGGAUCAAAAAUCAAGAUGCCAAAAGGUGUCAAUUUAAAUUCUGUAUCCAAAUACCUUUAAAUUAGUAUGUGACUUAGAAAUAUGCUUGGAAUAUUUAAAUUUGAAUGUACCAUAAUAUUACUUUUAAGAAAGAAGAUAUUGAAAAUUUUGGAAACAAAUUGAACUCCAUAGCAACCAUUUGGCCAGAGCUGAUCACAUAUAUAGUUAUAAUAGACCCACUGUGUUAUAAGAUUAUCAGUUAUUUUUCUGUUGUAUGAUUUUUAUUAUGAAAAUAAACCAAUUUAGUUUGA